AUUGAAAUUAAGAAUUGAAGAAACCAAAAUGGUAGUGAAAGCAAGAUCACCGGGAAAAAUAAUUAUCUCCGGUGAAAAUGCGGUGGUGCACGGAUCCACUGCGGUAGCUGCAUCGAUUGAUCUCUACGCCUAUACCACUCUUCCGAUUUGGACAAACUUACUCCAACAAUGCAAGAAUUAAUUCAAUUGGGAGAGAUUGAUAGUGAAUAUGAAAUUGAUAAUGCUUAAGAAUUGAACAAGUUAGAAAAGAUUGUAUUUGAUAUAUGUAUUUAAAUUUUAGAUAUGUAGAUAUAUAUCACAAAUAUGUGUAGAUAAAAAUCUUUAUUUUCAAUUAGACUGGUCAAACCACUGAUUGAACCUUGAA